GUGAAAUUUCCAACAGGGUACAAGCUCUUUAGAAAUCGCCCGGGGACUAAAAAAUUUGGGUAAAAAACCAGGAUUAGAGACCCUGUUAUUCUAAAAAAUAGUAUGGUAUAGGGUAGUAAAAGUUGUUCUUCAAACCCAAAGAUUUUGGCGGCACCCCAUCCUAACAGAGGAGCUUGUCCUGUAAUUGAUAACCCCCAAUUUAUCUUACCUUCUUUUGUUUAGCUUGUAUACCGCCGUUGUCAGAUUACUUUAAAAGAACGUUUUCGAGAAAAAUAUUUUUUUCACUUCAGGUCAAGGUGCAGUUUAUGAGGAGGUAGUCAUGAGCUACAAUUCUUAUUAAGAAUACGAAUUCCAGGUUAGAAACUGGUUGAAGGUGGAUUUGCUAGUAAAUUUAUUUAAGUAUAAUAAGUUGAAUGCGGCAAUGGGGUGUGUACAUAUCGCCCGUCACUCUCUUCCU
rnacentral:rRNA from 1 species